CACAAAUCAAACGUGUUGUCUCUUCAUUACAUAAAUGUUGUAAUAAUCACAAAUAUCAUAAAUCAUUUCUAUCAUCUAUUAGUCAACCUUAACAGGGAAAAGAAUAACGAGAUAUAAUUCCUGCUUAAGUUUAAUCAACAAUAAAGCAGGUAGAUGAAACUAUGGUAGUCUGAAAAGCGUUUAUUACUAACCUUCAUCAAUGUAAAUAA
rnacentral:misc_RNA from 1 species